rnacentral:rRNA from 1 species
AUUGAACGCUGGCGGCAGGCCUAACACAUGCAAGUCGAGCGGAUGAAGAGAGCUUGCUCUCUGAUUUAGCGGCGGACGGGUGAGUAAUGCCUAGGAAUCUGCCUGGUAGUGGGGGAUAACGUUCCGAAAGGAACGCUAAUACCGCAUACGUCCUACGGGAGAAAGCAGGGGACCUUCGAGACUUGCGCUAUCAGCGGAGCCGAGGGCGGAGUAGCUAGUCGGUGAGCGAAUGGCUCACCAAGGCGACGAUCCGUAACUGGGCUGAGAGGAUGAUCAGUCACACUGGAACUGAGACACGGUCCAGACUCCUACGGGAGGCAGCAGUGGGGAAUAUUGGACAAUGGGCGAAAGCCUGAUCCAGCCAUGCCGCGUGUGUGAAGAAGGUCUUCGGAUUGUAAAGCACUUUAAGUUGGGAGGAAGGGCAGUAAGUUAAUACCUUGCUGUUUUGACGUUACCGACAGAAUAAGCACCGGCUAACUUCGUGCCAGCAGCCGCAGUAAUAC